rnacentral:lncRNA from 1 species
CUAUACAGUGACUGCAAGGUUGGCACGUUUAAUUUCCUCAGGUUAGUAAGAGUGUGCAAAAAUCUGAUAGAGUUUUGAAUAAUCACAUUGUCCUGCUCCUCUGCAGUAGUAAAAUUUUCCAUUCUGGCUUCGGGAACUUUAAGAUUGCUCUUAUUUCACAAAUUUCUAUCUAUAUACGCACACAAAAACAUAACCUUUAAGAACUUGCAAGGUUAGAGCCUGUGAAAAGACAGCUAAUGACAACUUAACCGCACAAUUGCAUGCUGCGGGUUUGAAAAUACCUUUCUUCAAUGCCAUCGAGUCUCCAGGGCUCCCAGAGGAGUUUCUCACCUGGAAAAUGAUGGACACGCUGCUAAAGCCGGGGCCACGGACAAGAACUCCAUCCAGACUGUGGCUAACAUGGCAAUCACAGAAUAUCCCCCUUGAGGGGAUGUUCUUUGAUGGCAAUAUCUGAGCCGUAUUCCAGGACAUUUAUUUACAACAAAGGCAGGCAUUAGCUUCUAAAAGUAUGAAACGAUAGUGGAUACGAACGUAGUUUUUCUAUAUACUCAGCUGCGACCACAACUUUAUUGUGGACAUAAGUGUUGGGCGAAUGAUUCAGAAACACAUUUCCGGAUGCCAGGGUAUUGGUAACUAACUUUUGAAUUUUCACGGCCUGUUUGCCAAUAUAUUGUUCUCAAAACGG